GAUGAACGCUGGCGGCGUGCCUAAUACAUGCAAGUCGAGCGAACGGACGAGAAGCUUGCUUUUCUGAUGUUAGCGGCGGACGGGUGAGUAACACGUGGAUAACCUACCUAUAAGACUGGGAUAACUUCGGGAAACCGGAGCUAAUACCGGAUAAUAUUUUGAACCGCAUGGUUCAAAAGUGAAAGACGGUCUUGCUGUCACUUAUCGAUGGAUCCGCGCUGCAUUAGCUAGUUGGUAAGGUAACGGCUUACCAAGGCAACGAUGCAUAGCCGACCUGAGAGGGUGAUCGGCCACACUGGAACUGGGACACGGUCCAGACUCCUACGGGAGGCAGCAGUAGGGAAUCUUCCGCAAUGGGCGAAAGCCUGACGGAGCAACGCCGCGUGAGUGAUGAAGGUCUUCGGAUCGUAAAACUCUGUUAUUAGGGAAGAACAUAUGUGUAAGUAACUGUGCACAUCUUGACGGUACCUAAUCAGAAAGCCACGGCUAACUACGUG
rnacentral:rRNA from 1 species